CUUUGGUUUGAGGUGAGGAGCAUCAGGAAGCUGGCAGGUCUUGGGGUUGUCCCCAUGGCCAUCCCCAGCCAUGCCCCCAGCCAGAGCCAGACCACACCCUGCAUAACUCAGGUUUCCAGGAGACCCUUGGAGCAGAGACCCUUUCCAUGUCAUGAACAGAAACAAUCUGGGACCAGCAACAAAAAUUCCCAGAAUUAUGCCGCUUUACCAUCACUCUUUCACAAUUCCAAAUACCAGAGCUGGGAGUUUCACCAGGUUGGUAGGAACUGGUUACAGUGGAGGGAGGGUCAGAAAUGGGAGGAAAGGUGGGUGCAGAAAUCAUUAGUUUCACAAUUGGAAGGGACCUCAGAAACCAUAUGGUUCAAUGAAUAACUGAAAGGAGUCCCCUCUAUCACCUACUCAAGCAGCUAUUCUACCCUCUCUGGGAGCCCUGGUUAGAGGAAACUCAACUUAAGGAAGUUUAUCCUGCCACCAACUCAUGUGCCUCUUCUCAUUAUCCUAGUUCUGACUUCUGGGGUCAAACAGAACAAGCUUUAUCUUUCUUCCAGGUCUUUAAAAAUAUCCAUCAUGCCUGCUUAUAUCUGUUCUUCUUUUUUACCUGGGCAGGGUUUUUCAGAGGACCUGUGAGGUUCAGCUGCUUCCAGAAGCGUGGGUCAAGGAUCUUGAGCUAAUCGAUGGGGUUUGGGCAGCUCAGUGACAUCGGUUGGGGUUUUGAGAGAAGAAGCACAUUUUUCUACCUCAUAGCCAGAGGAAUGCUAAUUCUAGAAAGGGGGAAUUCAUCCCCUCCCUGUUCACUACUUCCUCAACUCUGGUUCCCAGAAUCCUACUCAUUAACAGUGAAUACACAAAGAAGCCUGAGAAAGAUAGAAGAGGCCCAUAACAGCUGCCCUAUAUGGCAACUCCCAGCCUUUUCCUUUUACCAUCUUUCUUUGGUGCCUAAAGAUACAGAAAAUUGCUGGGAGAAACUGCAAGUACUAUUUCUAACCUAACCCCUAUUUGGAAAUAUAUGGGAGUAAUAAAUAACCUGCUCAAAUGCCUUCACAAUCCAAGAAGUGCCAACCAAGACAACCUUAACCCUACCUUUAUUUGCACAAGAAUGGUAACAAAAGCAAAGGCCAAGAUGCAACUUCAGUGGGUGUGUGGAGGAAAAAAUAUGAGUUCUAUUAGGCUGUCAGCAGAUCCCACUCCAGAGAGGGCCAACAAGUGACAAUGUCACAUGUAAGUUACAAAAUAUUUACUCUUUCAUUCAAUUAUUCCACGGCUAGGACUUUGUCCAUAAUGUAUCGCAAAAAGGUAUCCACAGAAAAAUAUUCACUGUUCUUUAUUUGUAAUACAGGGAAACAACUUCUGCAUUAUUCAAUGGCUGAUUGAUGGUAUGAUGUGACAUUAUAAAAACAUGGAAAUAUGAAAGCUAAAAGGAAACACGGAAAGGCAUGAAUGAAAUUUUGCAAAGAUGAACAGGAACAGAACAAUACAUACAUAGUAACUACACAGCCAAGAAUAAUGAAAGAGUUAAUAUUUAAAAUAUUCAAUAUACUGUGUUAAGGAUUUUAUGUAAAAUUCCA